GCGCGAAACCUCCGCAAUGCACGAAAGUGCGACGGGGGGACCCCAAGUGCUCAUGCACAGCAUGGGCUUUUAUCAAGUGUAAACAGCUUGAGGAAUAAGGGCUGGGCAAGUUCGGUGCCAGCAGCCGCGGUAAUACCGACGGCCCGAGUGGUAGCCACUCUUAUUGGGCCUAAAGCGUCCGUAGCCGGUCCAGUAAGUCCCUGUUUAAAUCCUGCGGCUUAACCGCAGGACUGGCAGGGAUACUGCUGGACUUGGGACCGGGAGAGGACAAGGGUACUCCAGGGGUAGCGGUGAAAUGUGUUGAUCCUUGGAGGACCACCUAUGGCGAAGGCACUUGUCUGGAACGGGUCCGACGGUGAGGGACGAAAGCCAAGGGCGCGAACCGGAUUAGAUACCCGGGUAGUCCUGGCCGUAAACUCUGCGAACUAGGUGUUAGGUAGGCCUCGUGCCUAUCUAGUGCCGAAGGGAAGCCGUUAAGUUCGCCGCCUGGGGAGUACGGUCGCAAGACUGAAACU
rnacentral:rRNA from 1 species